UAGGCUCAGAUUGAACGCUGGCGGCAGGCUUAACACAUGCAAGUCGAGCGGGCGAGGUUACUUCGGUAACUGAGCUAGCGGCGGACGGGUGAGUAAUGCUUAGGAAUCUGCCUAUUAGUGGGGGACAACAUUCCGAAAGGAAUGCUAAUACCGCAUACGCCCUACGGGGGAAAGCAGGGGAUCUUCGGACCUUGCGCUAAUAGAUGAGCCUAAGUCAGAUUAGCUAGUUGGUGGGGUAAAGGCCUACCAAGGCGACGAUCUGUAGCGGGUCUGAGAGGAUGAUCCGCCACACUGGGACUGAGACACGGCCCAGACUCCUACGGGAGGCAGCAGUGGGGAAUAUUGGACAAUGGGCGAAAGCCUGAUCCAGCCAUGCCGCGUGUGUGAAGAAGGCCUUUUGGUUGUAAAGCACUUUAAGCGAGGAGGAGGCUACCGAGAUUAAUACUCUUGGAUAGUGGACGUUACUCGCAGAAUAAGCACCGGCUAACUCUGUGCCAGCAGCCGCGGUAAUACAGAGGGUGCGAGCGUUAAUCGGAUUUACUGGGCGUAAAGCGUGCGUAGGCGGCUUUUUAAGUCGGAUGUGAAAUCCCUGAGCUUAACUUAGGAAUUGCAUUCGAUACUGGGAAGCUAGAGUAUGGGAGAGGAUGGUAGAAUUCCAGGUGUAGCGGUGAAAUGCGUAGAGAUCUGGA
rnacentral:rRNA from 1 species